rnacentral:rRNA from 1 species
UACGUAGGGGGCAAGCGUUGUUCGGAAUGACUGGGCGUAAAGGGUGCGUAGGCGGUGUAGCAAGUUAGAAGUGGAAUACCUAGGGCUUAACUCAGGUGCUGCUUCUAAAACUGCUAUACUUGAGUGCAGUAGAGGAAAGUGGAAUUCCUAGUGUAGCGGUGGAAUGCGUAGAUAUUAGGAGGAACAUCAGUGGCGAAGGCGACUUUCUGGACUGUAACUGACGCUGAGGCACGAAAGUGUGGGGAGCAAACAGG